GAUGAAGAACGCAGCGAAAUGCGAUAAGUAAUGCGAAUUGCAGAAUCCGUGAGUCAUCGAAUCUUUGAACGCACAUUGCGCCCUUUGGUAUUCCGAAGGGCAUGCCUGUUCGAGCGUCAUUAUCACCCCUCAAGCCCCGGCUUGGUGUUGGGCUCUCGGUGGUCGUCUCCGACCACCCGUCUCAAAGAUAAUGACGGCGUCCCAGAGGGAACCGGUACGAGGAGCUUUCACGAGCAUGUACGCGGGACGACUCUGCGGGCGACGGUCUUAUUUACUUUAUAUACAAGUGUUGACCUCGGAUCAGGUAGGAAUACCCGCUGAACUUAAGCAUAUCAAUAAGCGGAGGA
rnacentral:misc_RNA from 1 species